UACGGAGGGGGCUAGCGUUGUUCGGAAUUACUGGGCGUAAAGCGCGCGUAGGCGGACCUGCAAGUCGGGGGUGAAAGCCCGAGGCUCAACCUCGGAACUGCCUUCGAUACUGCGGGUCUCGAGUCCGGGAGAGGUGAGUGGAAUUCCUAGUGUAGAGGUGAAAUUCGUAGAUAUUAGGAAGAACACCAGUGGCGAAGGCGGCUCACUGGAACGUUACUGACGCUGAGACGCGAAAGCGUGGGGAGCAAACAGG
rnacentral:rRNA from 1 species